rnacentral:tRNA from 1 species
GGUUGAGUAGUGUAGCGGGCCUAUCACGUUUCGUUUACACCGAAAAGGUCCCGAGUUCGAUCCUCGGCUCGAUCA